UCCACUUCCACGGUUCCAUCUAGUCCGUCUCCCUGCGCCGCACAGCUCCUGCACGGCCGCACCCCCAAAUCCCCCGUCACGGCGCCGCCCGCGCCCCUGUGACUCUAUAUGUGAACAGAUCUGUUAUGUCAUUGUUGCUCGAGUUUUGGGGCACCUACGGGUUUCGGAGGCGGGUGCACAUUGUCACCCGAAAUGAUGUUCGAGUUCGGGACGGAUUUUAUUCUCGAGUUUUGGGGUGGGUUCGCGGAAGCUCCGCCCGACCCCGACCCACCCAUUGCCAUCCCUAGCCAGAGCAUGUUUCUACAGCGUUCG
rnacentral:lncRNA from 1 species